CCUCCUUCGUCGUCCUCUCGCUAGCCGUAGCUCCGAGCACCUCCUAAAAACGCCAUCAAAACGCCACCCUCACAGCAAAAUCAAACUUCUCAUCUACUCCCACUAACACACUACGUCUUACUAAAUUACCCCGUACUAAUCAUUGAAGAUCGCGAGACCAGUAGCGCUUCUGUUUUAUACAUAGUUGCGCCUCUACGUGUUGUUGAUCUCAGGUUAGUGACGUCGUAGUUUAGAUCGAUAGGCAGCAAGUUGGUGGGGAGAAUCUUGCGGAUAAUGAGAUUACGCUGCAUUCGAUGAUUAGGUUGACAUACAUAAUUAGGGUUUUGAAGGAGAUGGGGAAGAUCGAAGAGGGAGGGGAAGCGAACUUGCUCAAGUUUCUAAAGGAGAAACAUAGGGUUAGUGUUCAAGGAAAGGUCAGAGACAUAAUCUGAUGGGUAAGAAGCUGUUUGAGGCUAUAACGAAGAAAGAAACCAAUCACUAGAUCUGGGGAUGAACCAUUAUCUGCAACUUUUAAAAAGAUUUUGAAUUGUUUCUGAGUCUGUCUGAAUCAAAGUAUAUAGAGUCUGAUGGAGUUGUUGAUUCUCUCACCAAAGAUUCAUUCAGCAUAAGCUAGGAGGUUCUUCAGUCUCUGACUACGAGAAGCUAAAAAGCUUAGAAGUUUGAUCUUAAAAUAAAAUACAAUGAGCUUUUAGCUAAACCUCAGGAACCCUCAAAGAGUUUUUUCACCAUCCAUAAGCAGUUCAGAGAUCUUGAGGAUCGCUAGAGGCGAGGAGCUAAGUCCUCUCUCCGGAGUUUUUAUCGCCUUCCACCGCUUCUUCUCGCAUCACAGACCAUUAUUGUCGGUUGUUCAAUGCCACGGCGGUGAAGAAGGUUAAUAGUUGGGACGAUUAUUGUUGGGAAGAUGGAUAUGGAUGAAUUCGGUAUGGGAAGCCCAAUUGAAGCUUUCGUCCUUUCAGGUAACUGCGAAGUCUUGGGACUUGACACAUGUAGCGGGAAGUUCAUCAGGAGGAUCAGCAGCAGCUGUUGCAGCAAUAUAAUGUAUGGUAGUGAUACUGGUGGGAGUGCGAGAUAGCUAGCUUCGCUUUGUGGUGUUGUGGUCUUAAGCCAACUUACGAGGUUUGGACUAAUGGCCUAUGCAUCUUCGUUGGAUGUCAUUGGUUGAUUUAGCUCUGCGUUUGCUGAUGCUAGGAUGCUUAUGAGAGGGUUGAAUCCACGAGUAGCAAACAGUUUCAAGGGAGUGAAAGGUUGUCCAUCCGCGAGAUGCUUGAAGAUGGUGUUUAUUCUGGAGUGAGAUAUGCAGCUUAGAAGCAUUGGGUUGUGUACGGACAUAGGUUUUCUUUCCGUCAUUCUCUCUUGGACUACCAGGUUAAUAUGUGGUGCAUGAUGAAUUAAUGUGGACAGAGUUUUGGUGUUGAUGCAGAAGUGAGGAAGGUGCAGCUGAAAAGAGUUCUUAGUGAGCAGCUUCGCCAAAUAAUCUGAUGAUCUGAUCCCAUUUUGCUGGCUUUGGAUUGGUGUUAUAAUAUUCCCGUUCUUUUCUUCUUGCAACACUCUUAUUAUUAUGGGUGUGAACGGUCCACGAUCCCAACCCAAGGAUGUUACAGCCUGUAUCUCUUCCCUCGAGAAUCUUAUUAAGGCAAUCAUUACUUUAUGUUAGGAACAAAUUUUCUAAAGAACAUGAACACACCUUGAUUUGGUGACUGUUAUUAUCCAAGCUUAGCUUACUGAGAAUAACAAAUGU